UACGUAGGGGGCGAGCGUUGUCCGGAAUCAUUGGGCGUAAAGCGCGUGUAGGCGGCCCGGUAAGUCCGCUGUGAAAGUCCAGGGCUCAACCCUGGGAUGCCGGUGGAUACUGUCGGGCUCGAGUCCGGAAGAGGCGAGUGGAAUUCCUGGUGUAGCGGUGAAAUGCGCAGAUAUCAGGAGGAACACCAAUGGCGAAGGCAGCUCGCUGGGACGUGACUGACGCUGAGACGCGAAAGCGUGGGGAGCAGACAGG
rnacentral:rRNA from 1 species